rnacentral:rRNA from 1 species
GACGAACGCUGGCGGCGUGCUUAACACAUGCAAGUCGAACGAUGAAGCCUAGCUUGCUAGGUGGAUUAGUGGCGAACGGGUGAGUAAUACGUGAGUAACCUACCUUUAACUCUGGGAUAAGCCUGGGAAACUGGGUCUAAUACCGGAUACGACCAAUCUCCGCAUGGGGUGUUGGUGGAAAGCGUUAUGUAGUGGUUAUAGAUGGGCUCACGGCCUAUCAGCUUGUUGGUGAGGUAACGGCUCACCAAGGCGACGACGGGUAGCCGGCCUGAGAGGGUGACCGGCCACACUGGGACUGAGACACGGCCCAGACUCCUACGGGAGGCAUCAGUGGGGAAUAUUGCACAAUGGGCGCAAGCCUGAUGCAGCGACGCCGCGUGAGGGAUGACGGCCUUCGGGUUGUAAACCUCUGUUAGCAGGGAAGAAGAGAGAUUGACGGUACCUGCAGAGAAAGCGCCGGCUAACUACGUGCCAGCAGCCGCGGUAAUACGUAGGGCGCGAGCGUUGUCCGGAAUUAUUGGGCGUAAAGAGCUUGUAGGCGGUUUGUCGCGUCUGCUGUGAAAGGCCGGAGCUUAACUCCGUGUAUUGCAGUGGGUACGGGCAGACUAGAGUGCAGUAGGGGAGACUGGAAUUCCUGGUGUAGCGGUGGAAUGCGCAGAUAUCAGGAGGAACACCGAUGGCGAAGGCAGGUCUCUGGGCUGUAACUGACGCUGAGAAGCGAAAGCAUGGUGAGCGAACAGGAUUAGAUACCCUGGUAGUCCAUGCCGUAAACGUUGGGCACUAGGUGUGGGGGAACAUUCCACGUUUUCCGCGCCGUAGCUAACGCAUUAAGUGCCCCGCCUGGGGAGUACGGCCGCAAGGCUAAAACUCAAAGAAAUUGACGGGGGCCCGCACAAGCGGCGGAGCAUGCGGAUUAAUUCGAUGCAACGCGAAGAACCUUACCAAGGCUUGACAUAUACUGGACCGCAUCAGAGAUGGUGUUUCCCUUCGGGGCUGGUAUACAGGUGGUGCAUGGUUGUCGUCAGCUCGUGUCGUGAGAUGUUGGGUUAAGUCCCGCAACGAGCGCAACCCUCGUUCUAUGUUGCCAGCACGUUAUGGUGGGGACUCAUAGGAGACUGCCGGGGUCAACUCGGAGGAAGGUGGGGAUGACGUCAAAUCAUCAUGCCCCUUAUGUCUUGGGCUUCACGCAUGCUACAAUGGCCGGUACAGAGGGUUGCGAUACUGUGAGGUGGAGCUAAUCCCUAAAAGCCGGUCUCAGUUCGGAUUGGGGUCUGCAACUCGACCCCAUGAAGUCGGAGUCGCUAGUAAUCGCAGAUCAGCAACGCUGCGGUGAAUACGUUCCCGGGCCU